rnacentral:rRNA from 1 species
GAUGAACGCUGGCGGUGUGCCUAAUACAUGCAAGUCGAGCGGACAGACGAGGAGCUUUUGCCUCUGAUGUUGGCGGGGGACGGGCGAGUAACGAGUAGAUAACCUACCUCUAAGUCUGGGAUAACCACGUGGAACCGGAUCCACUACUGCAUCACAUGUUGAACCGCUUGGAUCAACAGUUAAAGACGCUUUUGGCGCCACAUUUAGACGAUUUCGGGUCGCAUUAGCUAGUUGGUAAGGUAACGGCUUACCAAGGCAACGAUGCGUAGCCGACCUGAGAGGAUGAUCGGCCACACUGGAACUGAGACACGGUCCAGACUCCUACGGGAGGCAGCAGUAGGGAAUAUUCCGCAAUGGGCGAAAGCCUGAUGCAGCAACACCGCGUGGGUGAAGAAGGUCUUCGGAUUGUAAAGCUCUGUUAUUAGGGAAGAAAAGAUGUAGAUGAAACCAUCGAUGUCUUGACGGUACCUAAACAAAAAGCAACGGCUAACUGCGUG